UCUGCCUCGACCUGCUGGUUGAGGGACAGGAAAGAGACACAGACAAACUACAAACUACAGAGUUAGUUGACAACGUUGGUAGGGAAAUUUUGCCUUCUCAGCGGGACAAAUCACACCAAAGACUUUUUUAAAUUUUCUUCACUGAAAAUCGUUGGGCACCAUAUUAAGACCAGUUGAAGCCUGAACAGCCACACAUAAGUUUUAGCCACAGUUGAACGAACAAAACCUCCUUGAGCUCAGCAGUCAGACAGCAGCCAUUUGGUUCCAUUCUCCUCCAAUUACGUCAGGCGUCACGUGACUCCAAAACCACAUGUUUUUUCUAAGCAGAGUUUUUUUUCUUAUAUUUAAGACUAUAAAAACACUUGCUAGGUAUUUAGAGACCCAGUACAGCAACCAUAUUUACAGGUUCACCUCAGAUGAUGUUUUUCUGCAAUGUGAAAGAACCUUAAAGAUACACUUUAACAUACUUGUAUAAAGCAAACACACUGACAGCUUACACUGUUGAAUGCUUAUUUACUUAUUAGACCUGCUUUAUUUAGGUCAGUCUAGGGUGACCAGGAGAUARACCACUGAAGUUGAACAAAACAAAGAUCUGCCUUCAGCCAAAGAGAGAUCAGAUGACAAGCUACCAGUGGCCAUGGAAGUCUCUGUCAACUCCAGCACAACUACAGGGCCAUCACAAAYGAGAGUGAAAUGGAGCCAAGAAGAAAUCCAGGCAGUGGAGCAAACGCUCAUGGYCUGUAUUGACUCUGGAAAGGUUCCUGGGAAAGCCCAGUGUAUGAAGUGCAUUGAAGCCUCACCAGUGGCCCUCAAGGACAGGACAUGGCAUGGGGUGAAAUUCUAUGUGAAAAAUCGCAUAGACGCAUUGAAACGAGAGACUUUCAAAAGAAGGUAAACGUUGACCUUUUAUUACUGUGAAUGGAAACAGGCCAUCUGUUAGUGCCAUAAACACACUGGUUGUGUUUGGAGUUUUGAAACAGUUGCAGUCAAGUUUUGUUAUACAAGAAUGCAUCGUACUGCAUAGUAAUGUUGUGUUUUAGUUAAAAAACAAAAAAAUGUAUG